UGACAGCUGAAGAAAGUGGAAGAAAUACACCAGGAGGUCAUAUCAUCUUCACUCCUCAGGAUGAUUUUACACCAGGACAGAAAGCACUGCUGGGUGAUAAUCCUAUUCUGUGGGAUAAUCUUCAUGGACAGCCUAUGUGAGAGCUCCGGCAGAAAGGAGACCUGCCAACCUAUACCUAAAAAUGUUCUGUUUGUCCGCCCCAACAAGAACAUUGAUCCUUCAUGUUCUUUUCCAAACGAAACUGUCGAGGUCAGCGGAAUAAAACUCUGUUUCAGAAUCCACACAGAAGAUCCAGAAGACUGUUGUGAUGGCUUCAACUGCAGCUAUAAAACCAACUAUGAAGAAAACCC